UGAAAUCUGGCCCCCGGGUCCGAGUUGUAAUUUGUAGAGGAUGCUUUUGGUGCGGUACCUUCCGAGUGCCCUGGAACGGGACGCCAUAGAGGGUGAGAGCCCCGUCUGGUUGGACGCCAAUCCUUUGUAAAGCUCCUUCAACGAGUCGAGUAGUUUGGGAAUGCUGCUCUAAAUGGGAGGUAUAUGUCUUCUAAAGCUAAAUAUUGGCCAGAGACCGAUAGCGCACAAGUAGAGAGAUCGAAAGAUGAAAAGCACUUUGAAAAGAGAGUUAAAAAGUACGUGAAAUUGUUGAAAGGGAAGCGCUCAUGACCAGACUUGGGCAAGGUUGAUCAUCCAGGGUUCUCCCUGGUGCACUCUUCCGGCCCAGGCCAGCAUCAGUUCGCUGUGGGGGAUAAAGGCUUCGGGAAUGUGGCUCCCUCGGGAGUGUUAUAGCCCGUCGUGUAAUACCCUGUGGUGGACUGAGGUUCGCGCAUUCGCAAGGAU
rnacentral:rRNA from 1 species